GAUGAACGCUGGCGGCGUGCCUAAUACAUGCAAGUCGAGCGAACGGACGAGAAGCUUGCUUCUCUGAUGUUAGCGGCGGACGGGUGAGUAACACGUGGAUAACCUACCUAUAAGACUGGGAUAACUUCGGGAAACCGGAGCUAAUACCGGAUGAUAUUUUGAACCGCAUGGUUCAAAAGUGAAAGACGGUCUUGCUGUCACUUAUAGAUGGAUCCGCGCUGCAUUAGCUAGUUGGUAAGGUAACGGCUUACCAAGGCAACGAUGCAUAGCCGACCUGAGAGGGUGAUCGGCCACACUGGACCUGAGACCCGGUCCAGACUCCUACGGGAGGCAGCAGUAGGGAAUCUUCCACAAUGGGCGAAAGCCUGACGGAGCAACGCCGCGUGAGUGAUGAAGGUCUUCGGAUCGUAAAACUCUGUUAUUAGGGAAGAACAUAUGUGUAAGUAACUGUGCACAUCUUGACGGUACCUAAUCAGAAAGCCACGGCUAACUACGU
rnacentral:rRNA from 1 species